UCUCUGUUCAGUAAUUCUCACACUUGGCUCCUCCUUUUUAUUUCUUCUUUUUCCUUUUCUUUCUUCUUUACUUUUCACUUCGUUUUUGUUCUUGUUUGCCCGAGAGACACAGAGAGAGUCAAGAGGGAGAGAGAAAUCAGAGAGAGAGAGAGAAAGAGGCUAAGAAGAGUGGAUCCGUGAGGAGAGACCCGAGAACCCGUGACCUGAUCAUCGGUGGCCGAUCCUCCAUGAGCCGAUUUUUGGUGGUUCAACAACGGGUUGAGGCAGUGGCGAAGUCCGGUGGUCGGAGGAUGCAAAAUCCGACGAGGCAGAGCCGACUCCUAAUGGCUUGAAGGCUGGUUUUCCGGCGAGUUUUUCAGCGAAAUUAUAGACGAUUUCCGGUGGAUUUUCUAGGAAAAAUCCUCUAGAUGAUGAACUGAGACUGCACAAAAGGACUAUGAGUAUAAAAUACUUAUUGUGGAUGAUUGCGCAGGUUUUGAAGAUUAUGAAUUGGAUUAACUGCUAGCUUAAGAGUUAUAAAGCUAAUGUAGUUCGGUUCCAUUACUUUGUAAUUAUUAAUGUUUGUGCUAUUUUAUAUGUAAUAUGUUUAGGGAUUUACUUGUAUGUAGUAAGUUUCCAUGUAUGCUUUCGUGUCAUACAUGACACGUGUUUCAUUGUAAUCAUUGUAAAUGACUUUUAAUGAAUGUCUAUAGGAGUUUCAGUCAA